rnacentral:tRNA from 1 species
UGCCCCGUCGUCUAACGGCAGGACAACGGAUUCUGGUUCCGUUGAUCGAGGUUCGAAUCCUUGCGGGGCAACCU